rnacentral:rRNA from 1 species
GACGAACGCUGGCGGCGUGCUUAACACAUGCAAGUCGAACGGAAAGGCCCUGCUUUUGUGGGGUGCUCGAGUGGCGACCGGUGGGUAACACCUGAGUAACCCGCCCCUUACCUUGGGAUUACCUCCGGAAACCUGGGCCAAUACCCGAUAAGAGCCCCUUCCGCCUGGUGGGGGUUGGGAAGUUUCGGCGGUUGGGGAUGGACCCGCGGCUUAUCAGCUUGUUGGUGGGGUAGUGGCUUACCAAGGCUUUGACGGGUAGCCGGCCUGAGAGGGUGACCGGCCACAUUGGGACUGAGAUACGGCCCAGACUCCUACGGGAGGCAGCAGUGGGGAAUAUUGCACAAUGGGCGGAAGCCUGAUGCAGCAACGCCGCGUGCGGGAUGACGGCCUUCGGGUUGUAAACCGCUUUCGCCUGUGACGAAGCGUGAGUGACGGUAAUGGGUAAAGAAGCACCGGCUAACUACGUG